CCUACGGGAGACUGCAGUAGGGAAUCUUCCACAAUGGGCGAAAGCCUGAUGGAGCAACGCCGCGUGGGUGAAGAAGGUCUUCGGAUCGUAAAACCCUGUUGUUAGAGAAGAAAGUGCGUGAGAGUAACUGUUCACGUUUCGACGGUAUCUAACCAGAAAGCCACGGCUAACUACGUGCCAGCAGCCGCGGUAAUACGUAGGUGGCAAGCGUUAUCCGGAUUUAUUGGGCGUAAAGGGAACGCAGGCGGUCUUUUAAGUCUGAUGUGAAAGCCUUCGGCUUAACCGGAGUAGUGCAUUGGAAACUGGGAGACGUGAGUGCAGAAGAGGAGAGUGGAACGCCAUGUGUAGCGGUGAAAUGCGUAGAUAUAUGGAAGAACACCAGUGGCGAAAGCGGCUCUCUGGUCUGUAACUGACGCUGAGGUUCGAAAGCGUGGGUAGCAAACAGGAUUAGAUACCCGUGUAGUC
rnacentral:rRNA from 1 species